UUUUAAUGAUGAGUUUCACUAGCUCACUUUGAUCAUCUAUAAAACCAUGAAAAUGUUUGAACAGCUGAAAAAC